rnacentral:tRNA from 1 species
AAGGUUUUAAGUUAACCAAACUAGUAUCCUUCAAAGCUACCAACAAAAGUCAAACCUUUUAAGCCUUA